AGCUGAGUUUGAUCCUGGCUCAGAUUGAACGCUGGCGGCAUGCUUUACACAUGCAAGUCGAACGGUGACAGGUUAAGCUGACGAGUGGCGAACGGGUGAGUAAUGGCAUCGGAACGUGCCCGAUCGUGGGGGAUAACGCAGCGAAAGCUGCGCUAAUACCGCAUACGAUCUGAGGAUGAAAGCGGGGGACCGUAAGGCCUCGCGCGAUUAGAGCGGCCGAUGUCUGAUUAGCUUGUUGGUAGAGGU
rnacentral:rRNA from 1 species